rnacentral:rRNA from 1 species
CCUACGGGAGGCAGCAGUGAUGAAUAUUGGUCAAUGGACGAGAGUCUGCACCAGCCAAGUAGCGUGAAGGAUGACUGCCCUAUGGGUUAUAAACUUCUUUUAUAUGUGAAUAAAAUGUUCCACGUGUGUGAUUUUGUAUGUACCAUAUGAAUAAGGAUUGGCUAACUCCGUGCCAGCAGCCGCGUUAAUACGGAGGAUCCGAGUGUUCUCCGGAUUAAUUGGGUUUACAGGGAGCGUAGGUGGAUUGUUAAGUCAGUUGUGAAAGUUUGCGGGUCAACCGUAAAAUUGCAGUUGAAACUGGCAGUCUUGAGUACAGUAGAGGUGGGCGGAAUUCGUGGUGUAGCGGUGAAAUGCUGAGAUAUCACGAAGAACUCCGAUUGCGAAGGCAGCUCACUGGACUGCAACUGACACUGAGGCUCGAAAGUGUGGGUAUCAAACAGGAUUAGAUACCCUUGUAGUC